GUAUAAGCACUCAUAAUACGAACUAGGAGCCCUGGUGGCACAGCGUUUAAGAGCUAGGGCUACUAACCAAAAGGUCGGCAGUUCGAAUCCACCAGCUGCUCCUUGUAAACCCUAUGGGGCAGUUCUACUCUGUCCCAUAGGGUCGCUGUGAGUCAGAAUUGACUUGUCGGCAAUGGGUUUGGUUUUUGGUUUGUUUUUUAAUAUGAAGUUAGAAACACAUCCCCCUUUGUGAGGCUCUCUACGGUUAACUAGAAGUCAUCAGAAACCUGUAAGUCACUUGAAAGGUACUCAGAAAUUUUGAACUUAGAAGCACGUGAAGAAGGACGUAAAGAAUGUAAACAGCUUUUACUUUCACUUUGACCUGGCAUACUGUGACAGCAGAACACCACACGGUUAAUCUCUAAAUGACGCCCUCACCUCUGACCUCGAAGAAAAGGUGCGUCAUCUGGCUGGCCUCUAACCCUGCAGAAAAGAGAUAACAUACUGCUGCUUGACAUCACAGUGGCCCUUGCUGUGUGGAGCCAAGGUGACAAAUUCACAUAUACCUGAACCCUAAAUUUCUGUUCACUCAGUGAGAGAAGGCAGAGACGGAAAUGAGAUUCUGUCUGCUGCCACCGACCCGGGACCCAGCUGCGAGGGGCCCCCACCGGCCCGGGACCCAGCUGCGAGGGGCCCCCACCGGCCCGGGACCCAGCUGCGAGGGGACCCCACCGGCCCGGGACCCAGCUGCGAGGGGCCCCCACCGGCCCGGGACCCAGCUGCGGGGUCGAAAUGAGAUUCUGUCUGCUGCCACCGAUCCGGGACCCAGCUGCGAGGGGCCCCCACCGGCCCGGGACCCAGCUGUGAGGGACCACUGCUAAGUUCAAGCCAUGGUCAAGCCCUCCUCCCCAGACCUCUCCUUAAAGGCAGGGGAAGAAUUUAUUCCAACUGAAGAAAUUUCAGAUGAACAGCGGGAGAGCAAAAAAAAAGCUGCUUUCUGACUUCAUUCCAAUCUGUGUUCUGUCUUCGAGGGCAAAUGGGAAUGCUGAAAGGCCACAGGGAAGGCCACUGUGCUACCUCCUGACUUCCUAGGACUGGAAACAGGCCCAGCAACAGCAUCUGCAAAGCUAAGCACGAGGUGACUCGCAAAGGCCCCCGCUCUGUGCACAAGACGAGCAGCGUACACCUGCUACCUAAAGCUUCACAGGACAUUUCCAACGACGUUGUCUACGUAUCUCAUUGGGCAGUAAGAGCGCUUAUGUUUUCAUUGUUAUUAUGAUUUAAACACAGCAAUGAAGGUCAUUUUUAUAGCAUCCUUGUUGUUGCUAAGGGCCAUGGAGUUGAUUUUUAACUCAUAGCGGCCCCAUAUGACAGAACAGAGCUGCCCCAUAGGGUUUUCAAGGCUGCAAUCUUUACAGGAGCAGAUCACCAGGUCUUCCUCCCGCAGAGCCUCUGGGUGGGUUCAAACCGCCAACCUUUUGGUUAGCAGCUGAGUGCUUAACCAUUGCAUCACCAGUGGUAAUCCUUAACCUCCAGGGACCUCUUCAUGCUCCUGAACGAAUCGUCAGUGCCUCUCAUCCUUCUCUCUACCUAUUUUCAUCUUUUGACCUUCUAUCUCCCCAAACUUCUGCUAUCACCAAUCAAACUCUAUUUCCUGGGUAACUCUUCUGUGCCCAACUUGCGUUAGGGGUGUGAAGAGUUUCUGAUCUUUGAUAAUUAAAUCUUACUGAGAGACAAAUAGUAACUGAAAAAUAUGAAUCAUUAAACCCCAUGGCAACAGUUUUCAAGUACACACAGAAUUCCAGGGAGAGAUUAAUGCCAGUUGGAACAGCCAGAGAAGGAUUUGUGGAAGAGGAGGAAAUGGAAGCUGGUUGGAUUGGACUAGGUGGAGGAUAUUACUGGGAAGGGGGUCAGAACAUAAGCAAAGGAAUAAGUAGGGAAUACAUAUAUAGGUGUGGGGCAAGACAGUCUCUUCUGGGUCUGUGAGGAUUUGAGGAAUGGUAAAAAAAAAAAAAAAAAAAAAAAAAGUGUGACCUAGAAGGGUCACAAUCACGGACUUAGGAGCCUCCAUACUGAGGUGUUUGGACUCUCCUGAGCAGAAACGUAACAUGACCAGAACUGUGUUGUAGGAACGAACCUAGGUCUAGUAGCUGUGAGCUGGAUGGAGUAUAAGGAGAGAAUCUGAAUACAGGCAGAACCGUGAGGGGAUCUUUCCAAGAAAAAGAUACACCUGAGACAUUUUACAAAGGAAUACUGGAGAUGUUUCAAGAAUCAGAAAAGGAUGGAGGGUUUGUAGCUUGGGGUCUAGAAAGAGCAGUAGCACCUCAAUCAAAAUGAGGUAGUUGGUGUACAUUUAGAGAGAGAGAGGUUUCCAGUUUAGACUUGUAAGUAAGGGAAUUAAAGUUGAAGUAAUCCAAACAAUCAAGAGAAGUUAACAGAGAAGGCAGCAGGCAAAAACACAAACUUCGGAGUCACACAAGCCUGGGUACCAAAUCUAUCUCUGUCAGUUAGGGGCUAUGGAGGAUGAAAGAUGGCUGUAAGUUCUUUGCCACUCCUCCCAUUGAGAGGUGGAGUCUAUUUCCCUUUCCCUGAACCUCAGUCUGGCCUUGUGACCUGUUUUGACCAACAGAAUGUGGCAGAAGUGAUGAUGUGUGACUUCUUAGGCUGGACCUUAAAAAAUAUGCAGCUUCCACCCUCCCUGCAUGGCAGCUCCCUCUUACAAACCAGCCAUCAUGUAAGAAGUCCAACAACCUUGAGUCCACCGUGCUAUGAGGAAGCUCAAGCACUUUCAUGGAAGGAGGAAAGAAAGAAGUGAGGAAAGGACGGAGAAGAAGGGAGAUGGAAGGGCAGGAAGGGAGAGUAGCAGGGAGAAGGCAGCUACAUGGAAGAGCACUGAAGUGCUAGAUAUGAAGUGCCCCCUGGACAUUCCAGCCCAGCCCAGCCACCAAAUGAAUACAGCCAAGUAAACGACCCCAGCCAAUGUCAUGUGGAGCAAAAGAACCACGCAGCUGAACCCUUCUGAAUUCCUGACCCACAAAAUCAAGAACAAAUAAAUAAAAUGGUGGUGGCUGUAAACUAAGAUUUGGGGUAGUUUAUAACGUAGCAAUAAACCAAAAAACCCAUUGCUGUAGAGUUGAUUCUGACUCACAGCAACCCUAUAAAACAGAGUAGAAUUGCCCUGUAGGGUUUCCAAGGAGCUGCUGGUAGAUUUGAACUUCUGACCUUUUGGUUAGCAGCCAAGCUCUUAACCACCGUGCCACCAGGGUUCCAAUGCCUCAACAGGUAGUCAAAGUCAGUAGCUGUGCACCCUGGGUAAGUUGCCUGCCAUCAUGUUCUCACCUGUUUUAAAAGCGGCACCAUUAUGAAUUACCUUUUACUUCAUAGGGUUGCUGAGAUGGCAAGAGCUGGUGUCUGUGGUACACUCAGCACACUGGGACAGGCAGUAGGCCAUGGACAAACAGAGCCUUUCUCACCAUCUUCAGCAUCAUCAGUGACCAUCAUGACCCACCCCACUGCUUCUACUAGCUUCCCAGACUUCCACUGCUGGGUCUCGGCCAAGCCCCUGCCGUUCCAGUCAGACCCACUUUACCACCCAGUAAACAUCUGGUUCUACCUCCAUGGUUUCCCCCGCGCUUCUCCUCAUCUGCCUACGUAAUUCCCAUGUCUCCUCCUCAGAGCCUUCCUCUACCAGGCCAGCCUUUGUCUGUUCUCUGCCUUAUUUCCUAAACCGUGAUACAAUUCAUUAUUUAAUGAUAUUGUUUUGUAUUUCUGGUUAAUGCUUCACAUAUGAAAAUCUUUUUUUCCCCAACUCGAAUAUAAACUCCUUAAGGGUGGAGCUCCUAUCAUAGGCCCUCUCCCCAGGCUGCCUAGUCCAACACCAGGCUGAACCCAGAACGAAUGUCUGACAGAUAAAUAGAUGUCUGCCUAAUCUCCUAUUCAUCUAGGGGCAGCUAAGUCACUUUAAUCCUUAAUUCUAAUUAAAUCCGUCUUUUCUGCUCUUGUUUGCAACUACUUUCUAAUUAUUUUCUACACUUCUGAACUUUUCCAGCUUUCAAGAUGCUCUUAAGUUCCUUGUCCCUAUCACUUGGCUGCAGUUUCCCUGGACGGAACACAUCCUGUUACUUACUCAACAAGCAGCACCCCUUGCCCGCUGGCUUUCAUCAUUCUAAUUCUUACUUCCUCUUAGAAAAUUCCUCAGAUCCCAAACAGCAAGAGGCACUCUGCCUGCAAACACUGGGGUCAUUGUCUGAAUUGUUCACGUGAGUGUAAUGACACCCCUCCCUCAGAUGCUCCUUAGAUAGGGCGCUUUCGAAGUGUAUUUGGGACGUGGCGCCCAUGUCUUAGCUUCAUGUUGUACCUACAAUGAUUAUUAAGCAACUUUCAAAAUUAUAUUUCAGCUGUAAUUAAAGGGUAUUCUGACAAGAAAAAUGAGGUAAGCCUUCAGUACAAUGAAAACAGGGAUAGCCCUCACCUGUUCUUUGUUUUCCUGAAAAUGGGACUCAGAUUCCAGGUGUCAUCAGAGGUCACUAGUACUGCAGUCAUGCAGACACUACAGAGCCGGUGGGGCUCUUCCCACCUAGUUUCCACUGAGAACUCCAGAGUGAGUGUAGGCCAGCCCUCCAUGUGCAGUUAUAAGGCACACAGGGGAACGCAGACGCUCCCAGACCCCUAGCCAGAUCCAAGGCAUGCAAAGGGGUGAGAGGAUGAGGAGGAAAAGACGGGAGAAGGGGCUUCUCUGGAGGGAACUGCUGGCUGUGGUGAGUCCCUGGUCCAUUCUAGGAGAACAAUCGGGCUACCUGUACACUCCAGUCCUGUUGGGGAGCCAACCACGCACGCAGAGAGCCCUGGUUCACAUUCCCUGUACUCGGAAGGCAGUGUGACUGGCGUCUGACUCUGGCCUGAGAAGCGUAACGAAAACUGUGGGCCUUGCCCGCCCACUCCAGGGAAUCUAGAGACAAGAGAAGGGCCCACCUGCAGCUUUGGAGGAGGGUGGGGGGCAGUAGCUGCCUCGGGUCUGCACCAACAGAGUUCCUCAGCACCGGGGACACACCAGUGUUUCCCAGAGAACACCAUGGGUCGCGGUGGGGCAGAGCCAGUGUGGGCUUGUCUUGGUCCCACACAACAGGGCUCCCUGAGGGGCAAGAAGGCAGCAGGAAGAUCUAAUGGUGCCACCACACGUCCAGGGGACAACAAUGAAGGCACACACGACCCCAUGGGAUGCAUCCCCUCCAGGGAAGCGCCAGCAGGACGUGGGAGUCAACACUUCAGCUGUCUGCUGGGUCCAGAAAGCUCAAAGCCCAGAGCCAGGAAGGAACCUGAGCCCUCCUCCCUCCCUGCCCUCACACCUUAGCCUUUGGCCUUGUUGGGGGCAGAGCAGUAGCCAGCUUAAGCGGAGGUAGGUGAGAGAGAGGCAAAGCCUCCUGUCCUCUUCCUUACCUUGGACUUCAGCCCAGAGCAGGCCGGAGCUGGGAAGGUGGGUGGAGGAGCCGGGGAGAAGACUGCACCCUAAGUCAAGUAUGAAUGGGGACUGUCACCCAGAGCUGAAGGAUUAGUCUUUUUUUCCUGCCCUUGAACUCCUUUACAUGAGUGAACUAGGCUUUGUUUAUCUAAUUAAACAACUCCUUUAUUAGAUGAUGUUUGAAAGCUUGUUGGUAAGGGCAAUUUAAUAGAAAUGUAUUUUUCUAUUAUGUUUGAAUUUAAUACAGAAACAGGAGGAGGAGUCAGGGGCUGCAUACACACAUCAAUUCAUCUGAAGUCCCAAAUGCUUAACAACAUUGUCUAUGAGAAGCUAAUGUCCCGGUCGUCUCCAAAAGGGGACGCCAUCUGUUCUGUCUUGAGCCGGAGCACCCAAAGGCAAAAUACUGCUCCAUCAUGUGGGCAUUCACGGCCACCACACGGGGGGAAAUCAUCAGUUCACAGGUAAAAUGUCUGUCUCUCAUUCUAACACCCAUCCUCUCCACCUGAACAGCGUUCCCAAAAGGACGGCAGAACUACAGUGACCUCAGGAGGCACAGGGGGACUAGGAAAUGCAGAAGGUUACGCAGUCCGCUUCAACCAAGUCGGCAACCAAGUCAGGAGGAUCACAGUGUCACACUGGGGAUCACUGUCUCCUUUUUAACUACAUCAGCAUAUUGAUGGGAAAACAAAGAUCCUUUCCUUUGUUACUAAGUCAAGACCUUAAGUCCCAGUCUUCCCAUUGCUUUGAGCGUUGUGCUCUUUUAAAGAAUUAUCUGUGUGAGAUCAAACUGACGAUGGCAACUUGGAGGGUUUGAUAGGAAACUUAGGGACCAACAAAUUUAAGACAAUGGCAGUAGAAGAACAUGGAAGAGUACAGCAAGACUGGCAGCACAGCUUGAGGAAUGUCACUGAUGACACUAAGCUGUACAUGUAGGAGUUGUUGAAAUGGUUCAUCAUUGGCUGUGUAUGCGUUCACCAAAAAAAAAAAAAAAAGAAGAAGAAGCCCCAAAAUGAGCCCUCAGUACAGUCAACUCCAGGCGAUCUCCCAUCUAAACAAGCAGCAGGAUCAGGAGUCGGGAAGGCACGUUUUACUCUCUGAGAAACCCUAACACUAAUAGAUGCAAACUGCCAGCACUGAGCCAGAGGCAGGCCAGACCCGGAACAAGCUCUUCUUUUUCCCAUCCACCCUCAGGUCCAGUGAAAUCGUGGUCAACUUUGCUCCUGAGAGGCACAGAAGGUACCAUGAGAUUAAGCCGUCCACAUGGCUUCAGGGUAUAGUCCGUGGUCGCCUCCUAUGUCUGAAAAAUCAGACUUCAGAUGGGAUUUAUUGCACAAACCACGUUAACCUCAGCACUCAAUUAAAUGGAACCUGCUCUCUUUUUCUCACUUUCCAGACGAGGGGAAAGUGGUUAAAAUUCAAACCGUCUCCAGUCUUCCGUCAUUCCUGAGAAAUAUGGUUCUUACGAUUUUAUUUUAAAUGUUUUUCAAGUAGAUAUUGUUCAAACCUAGGAUGAUUUUUUUUUUUUUCAUUCGUAUCCAUCUAUUCCAGUUAGGAACAGCUUUCUAGUUUCUAGAAGGCUUUCCGGCAAUUAUGUACCAAAAAAAAAAAAAAAAAGUACCAACUAUGUGUUGAAAAGAACACUAUUAAGCUGAAUCAAAUAUGAGAAAUACAGAACGCUAUGUAUAUAUUUUUUUCUGUUGUUUUAACAAAACAUGGUUCUUUACCUUUAGUCUGAAUAAGAAGAAAUGGUUAAGGCAGAAAGCUUUGGUGUCAGGCUCCCUGGGUACAAACACCAGCUCUGCCACUAGUGAAUGGCAGGAACUUUUGUCGAGUUACGUCUAGUUUAGUAACUCAAUCUGUCAUUCAUUUGUGUGUGUGUGUGUAUGUAUACACAUAUGGCACACACAUAUGACUGACAUGUAGACAUAUACACACAUUUAUGCAUACACAUGUAUACACAUACAUACACAUAUGCAUACUCUGGGGUGGUUGAAAGACAGGAGAUACGCCACGUGAUGGUUUUAGCAUUAUGACUUACGCACAGUACUAUGCAAUAAACCUUAACUUUAAGGAAAGAGUGUUGUAACAGCCAAGCUGAGUAACUGGGGAACACCUACACAGAGACGAUAAAGCAGACAUGAGCUUCAUGAUUCAUUAUCUUUAUAGGGACAACACAACAAAGACUGUUUUCCUCUGUAAUAUAUUAGCCACACUGCAUUGGGCAAAUCUGCUGCAAAGAACCUCUUUAAAGUGCUCAAAAGCCAAGAUGUCAACUUGAAGACUAAGGUGUGCCUGACCCAAGCCAUAUUAUUUUCAAUCACAUCAUAUGCACAUGAAGGCUGGACAAUGAAUAAGGAAGACCAAAGAAGAAUUGACACCUUUGAAUUAUGGU